rnacentral:rRNA from 1 species
UACGUAGGGGCCUAGCGUUGUCCGGAAUUAUUGGGCGUAAAGAGCUCGUAGGCGGUUUGUCGCGUCGACUGUGAAAACCUACAGCUUAACUGUGGGCUUGCAGUCGAUACGGGCAGACUUGAGUUCGGUAGGGGAGACUGGAAUUCCUGGUGUAGCGGUGAAAUGCGCAGAUAUCAGGAGGAACACCGGUGGCGAAGGCGGGUCUCUGGGCCGAUACUGACGCUGAGGAGCGAAAGCGUGGGGAGCGAACAGG